rnacentral:rRNA from 1 species
GAUGAACGCUGGCGGCGUGCCUAAUACAUGCAAGUCGAGCGAACAGACGAGGAGCUUGCUCCUCUGACGUUAGCGGCGGACGGGUGAGUAACACGUGGAUAACCUACCUAUAAGACUGGGAUAACUUCGGGAAACCGGAGCUAAUACCGGAUAAUAUAUUGAACCGCAUGGUUCAAUAGUGAAAGACGGUUUUGCUGUCACUUAUAGAUGGAUCCGCGCCGCAUUAGCUAGUUGGUAAGGUAACGGCUUACCAAGGCAACGAUGCAUAGCCGACCUGAGAGUGUGAUCGACCACACUGGAACUUAGACACGGUCCAGACGCCUACGGGAGGCAGCAGUAGGGAAUCUUCCGCAAUGGGCGAAAGCUUGACGGAGCAACGCCGCGUGAGUGAUGAAGGUCUUCGGAUCGUAAAACUCUGUUAUUAGGGAAGAACAAAUGUGUAAGUAACUAUGCACGUCUUGACGGUACCUAAUCAGAAAGCCACGGCUAAGUACGUG